rnacentral:rRNA from 1 species
UACGAAGGGGGCUAGCGUUGCUCGGAAUCACUGGGCGUAAAGCGCACGUAGGCGGACUCUUAAGUCGGUGGUGAAAUCCUGGAGCUCAACUCCGGAACUGCCUUUGAUACUGGCAAUCUUGAGGCUGGAAGAGGUUAGUGGAAUUCCCAGUGUAGAGGUGAAAUUCGUAGAUAUUGGGAAGAACACCAGUGGGCGAAGGCGGCUAACUGGUCCGAGAUCUCGA